GGCAAGAUGGCCGAGUGGUCUAAGGCGCUGUGUUCAGGCUUGCUUCGGCAAUACCUAAACAAAAAAAAAAUCGCAGUCUCCCUGAGGCGUGGGUUCGAAUCCCACUCUUGUCA